ensembl:lncRNA
GAACCUUCCUGCCAAUAUUCCGUUACAUUUUGUUGCUGUGUGACAGACGUUAGUUGAGGGGCAGUAUGACAAAAUCAUAUCUGACAUGGAAGUGAGUAUGAAGCAAAGUAAAGAAUGGAGAACCAGCCAAGAAGUCAGAAACGAAAGCUUUUCUUAUGAGCAUGAAAUAAAGUGAAUGAAUGAGAAAAUACACAAUUCAGCACUGAACGAAGAAAAAUAAUGUAGCAAGUUACUGUUUCCUGUCCUAACAGUAAAAGACCUCAGACCACACAGAUUCAACUCUACAUAACUUGGAUCACAUAAGGCAUAAACAGAUUAAUCUGUAUGGAAAUCCUAAUAUUUGAGCUAUUGCAUAGUUUUGGACCUGACCAGAGCAUGUUUUGUGGCAUCCUACCAAACUGUCGAUUUUUCAUCUUCUUCUGUCAGAUCUGUGCACACAAACACAUAUUUUUGCCACCACCCUUCAUGAAGAAAGAACCCAAUGGGAGGAAACUGUCCACCUCCUCCCUGCUGCCAUCAGACACACAGUCAAGCAGGCAAACCAGAAGGUGAGGACUGAAAUAGAGUGAAGAGUCAAGAUGUGUACAAUCAGAGGACAUAUAUGAUAGUAGUGAUGUUGAUAAGACUGGUUAAAAAUUCUUCACCAAACAGCUUUCACAGUUUCUUACUAGAAAUCUGACUUUUUGACAGUGAAUAUUUUUGUGGGAUUCUCCAUAAAUAUUAAAAAUCAUUUUCUUUUUCUGUCCUCCAAAGAAAAGCUGAACAUUUGCACAGAAGUAAAUCAUAAUUAUCUUUAAUAAUGCUCUGAAACACAUGAGCCUUUGAAGAUUAUCGUAUCUGAACUGGAAUAUCAG